rnacentral:tRNA from 1 species
GCGGAGGUGGCGAAACUGGAAUACGCACCCGUCUUGAAAACGGGCGUCCUGCACGGAUUUGCGGGUUCAAGCCCCGUCCUCCGCACCA